CGACAUUCUUUAUUCAAAAUCCCUACAAUUGUUUCGACACAUUUUUACACCUGUGGACUAUAUAUAUAUAUA